GUUCAAAUGAGGAAGGGCUUGCGGUGGAUACCUAGGCACCCAGAGAUGAGGAAGGGCGUGGUAAGCGACGAAAUGCUUCAGGGAGUUAAAAAUGAGCAUAGAUCCAGAGAUUCCCGAAUAGGUUAACCUUUUUAACUGUUGCUGAAUCCAUGGGCAGGCAAGAGACAACCUGGUGAACUGAAACAUCUUAGUAGCCAGAGGAAUAGAAAUAAAAAGCAAUUCCCAUAGUAGCGGCGAGCGAAAUGGGAGCAGCCUAAACCGUGAAAAC
rnacentral:ncRNA from 1 species